UCACCCUGGAGCCUCCAUUCCCAGAGAUAUUCAUCGGGGAGACAGUCACUCUGAGGUGUGGGGUUGAGGGGGGUUCUGCUGGCUGGAAAUAUCUCUGGUACAAAGACAGUGAGGAGAUUCCAGUGCUCCAGACUGCUGGACGCAGUAUAACUGGUGACAGCUACACAAUCACUGCAGCUGCUGUAUCUGACCAGGGCCAGUACUGCUGUCGAGGACAAAGAGGAGAUCAACCACUCUACUCACAGCUCAGUGAUGAAGUGACAUUAACUGUGUCUGAGGGUCAUCCUCAGGCUGUUUUGACCCUGCAGCCUGCCUGGGCACAGAUAUUCACAGGAGAGACAGUCACCCUGAGCUGUGAGGUGGAGGGGGGCUCUGCUGGCUGGAGGUUUAAACAGUACAGAGAUGGACGUGAAGAGGCAGGGUGCAGUGAUCAAUACAGGAGUAGAUAUGGGGACAGCUGCACAAUCAGUAAAGCUCGGCAUUCCCACAGUGGAGUGUACUGGUGUGAGUCUGCAUCAGGACAGGAGCGCAGUAAUGCUGUCACCUUAACUGUGUCCAAUGGACGGGUGUUCCUGCAGACUCCUCAAUCCUGACCCGUCUCUCAGCCCUGCUGAUCUGAACUCUUCCUGUCUUUUCAGAUGGACGGGUGUUCCUGCAGACCCCCCCCCAGCCUGUGUUUGAGGGAUACUCUCUGACUCUGAGGGUUGUGUCCGGGGUUAUACAGCUAACAGGGUUGUCUUUUAUAAGGAUAAUGAAGAGUUACAGUCCCGGGCUGACACAGAGCUGAGUGUGGAUCAUGUUUCAAAGAGUGACGAGGGAUCCUACAAGUGCAGAGCAGAGUGGUGGGACUCCACUUACUCUGGUGUUUCUGCAGAGGUGCGGGUGUCAGUGAGAGGUAGGUUCAUUCUAACAGAGAGAGUCCUCACCCCCUUCUCUGUCUGUAAUGUCUCACAGAUACAUUCACACUGGAGUCUAUUCCAGCUGUGUUAAUGUGACUCUGCAGAGGUGCGGGUGUCAGUGAGAGGUAGGUUCAUUCUAACAGAGAGAGUCCUCACCCCCUUCUCUGUCUGUAAUGUCUCACAGAUACAUUCACACUGGAGUCUAUUCCAGCUGUGUUAAUGUGACUCUGCAGAGGUGCGGGUGUCAGUGAGAGGUAGGUUCAUUCUAACAGAGAGAGUCCUCACCCCCUUCUCUGUCUGUAAUG